rnacentral:rRNA from 1 species
AGCUCUGUAAGCGUAUACCAAAGUUGUUGCAGUUAAAACGCUCGUAGUCGAACCUUGGCGUGAGUUACGGAGACUCCUAAUGGACGUUGAAGUAACUCCGCCUUUGUGGAGGGGGGUGUGGUGGUACUUUAUUGUAUUGCUGCACUUCCGCCACUGUUUACUGUGAAAAAAUUAGAGUGUUCAAAGCGAGCGUUUGCCAUGAAUACAUUAGCAUGGAAUAAUAGAAUAGGACCUGAUCCUGUUUUAUUGGUUUGUCUGUAUCAGGUAAUGAUUAACAGGGACGGUCGGGGGCAUUUGUAUUCCAGCGUUAGAGGUGAAAUUCUUGGAUCGCUGGAAGACAAACAGCUGCGAAAGCGUCUGCCAAGGACGUUUUCAU